rnacentral:rRNA from 1 species
GACGAACGCUGGCGGCGUGCUUAAUACAUGCAAGUCAACUUGACUUUAGAUAGCAAUAUCGAAAAGUAGGGUGGCGCACGGGUGCGUAACGCGUAGGUAAUCUGCCCUGAGGUCUGACAUAACCCGUCGAAAGGCGGGCUAACAUCAGAUGAUAUAUAAUCACGACAUCGUGGAAAUAUCAAAUCUUCGGAGCCUUGGGAUGAGCCUGCGUCUGAUUAGGUAGUUGGCGGAGUAAUAGCCCACCAAGCCUACGAUCAGUAGCUGGUCUGAGAGGAUGAUCAGCCACACUGGAACUGAGACACGGUCCAGACUCCUACGGGAGGCAGCAGUAAGGAAUAUUGCUCAAUGGGGGAAACCCUGAAGCAGCAACGCCGCGUGAAGGAUGAAAUACUUUUGUAUGUAAACUUCUGUAAGAUGGGAAAAAUAUUCUCCUCGGAGAAUUGAUUGUACCAUCAGAGUAAGCCCCGGCUAACUACGUGCCAGCAGCCG